CUUGGAAGUUGCCAUUAUAUUAUCAAGUAUAAGAUCAUUUCAUGGCACCAAAAACAUUACACCAAGUUAGAAAGGGCAAUUCCAAGUGUCAAUAAAAGCCAUUACAUCAAAUUCUGUCACAACUCCAUCACCUUACAAGUCCAUACUCUUACAAAAGAAAUCCCAAAUGAAAACUACAUAGAAACAUUCAUAAACCUAACGAUUAUUCUUCCAUCUUUAUUUUCUCCAUCAUUCUUCAUGUUUUUUAAGCCUUGUCCUUAUCAAACUCUUUGCUUCAUUUGCUUUAAGUUACUUUCAUGGAUCGAUGCCUCCUCAUGCUUCCGACGACCAUGCC